AMAGGSGWCUUUCCYCCGAYYCCUGUUUUUCCCRAAGGCCCCCYUWUWRGGGGGGKWWRWUKUKGSSRKCAWWAGACCCUUAGAGUUUGAUCCUGGCUCAGAACGAACGCUSUKYGGCGUGCUUAACACAUGCAAGUCGAACGUGAUCCAGAGCUUGCUCUGGUGAAAGUGGCGCACGGKUGAGUAACGCGUGGAUAACAUGCCCUGGUAUCUGGGAUAACAUCUCGAARGGGGUGCUAAUACCGGAUAAGCCCACGGGCUCUUCGGAGCCUGCGGGAAAAGGUGGCCUCUAUCUAUAAGCUACCGCAUCAAGAUGGGUCCGCGUACCAUUAGCUAGUUGGUGGGGUAAUGGCCUACCAAGGCGACGAUGGCUAGCUGGUCUGAGAGGAUGAUCAGCCACACUGGAACUGAGACACGGUCCAGACUCCUACGGGAGGCAGCAGUGGGGAAUUUUGCGCAAUGGGGGAAACCCUGACGCAGCAACGCCGCGUGAGUGAUGAAGGCUUUCGGGUCGUAAAGCUCUGUCAGAGGGGAAGAAAUGGGUCGUGCUAAUAUCGCGGCAUCUUGACGGUCCCCUCAAAGGAAGCACCGGCUAACUCCGUGCCAGCAGCCGCGGUAAUAC
rnacentral:rRNA from 1 species